GGUGGCACACACGGGAGCCCGGCGAACCGGGCUGAGAGGCGGGCUGGCACGGCCCGCGACCGUCCGAACCUGAUCCGGGUCAUACCGGCGAAGGGAGCAGAGCAGCUUUGUCAC
rnacentral:ncRNA from 1 species